UGAGGUAAUGGCUCACCAAGGCAUCGAUCAGUAGCCGGCCUGAGAGGGUGAUCGGCCACACUGGGACUGAGACACGGCCCAGACUCCUACGGGAGGCAGCAGUGGGGAAUAUUGGACAAUGGGCGCGAGCCUGAUCCAGCAACGCCGCGUGGAGGAUGAAGGUCUUCGGAUCGUAAACUCCUGUCGAACGGGAC
rnacentral:rRNA from 1 species